rnacentral:rRNA from 1 species
GGGUGAGUAACACGUGGGAACGUACCCUUCGGUUCGGAAUAACUCAGGGAAACUUGAGCUAAUACCGGAUACGCCCUUUUGGGGAAAGGUUUACUGCCGAAGGAUCGGCCCGCGUCUGAUUAGCUUGUUGGUGGGGUAACGGCCUACCAAGGCGACGAUCAGUAGCUGGUCUGAGAGGAUGAUCAGCCACACUGGGACUGAGACACGGCCCAGACUCCUACGGGAGGCAGCAGUGGGGAAUAUUGGACAAUGGGCGCAAGCCUGAUCCAGCCAUGCCGCGUGAGUGAUGAAGGCCUUAGGGUUGUAAAGCUCUUUUGUCCGGGACGAUAAUGACGGUACCGGAAGAAUAAGCCCCGGCUAACUUCGUGCCAGCAGCCGCGGUAAUACGAAGGGGGCUAGCGUUGCUCGGAAUCACUGGGCGUAAAGGGCGCGUAGGCGGCCGAUUAAGUCGGGGGUGAAAGCCUGUGGCUCAACCACAGAAUUGCCUUCGAUACUGGUUGGCUUGAGACCGGAAGAGGACAGCGGAACUGCGAGUGUAGAGGUGAAAUUCGUAGAUAUUCGCAAGAACACCAGUGGCGAAGGCGGCUGUCUGGUCCGGUUCUGACGCUGAGGCGCGAAAGCGUGGGGAGCAAACAGGAUUA